rnacentral:rRNA from 1 species
AGCUAAGGUCCCAAAUUACAGCUAAGUGGGAAACGAUGUGGGAAGGCUUAGACAGCUAGGAUGUUGGCUUAGAAGCAGCCAUCAUUUAAAGAAAGCGUAAUAGCUCACUAGUCGAGUCGGCCUGCGCGGAAGAUGUAACGGGGCUAAGUUGUAAACCGAAGCUGCGGCAAUGUUCUAUGAACAUUGGGUAGGGGAGCGUUCUGUAAGCCGUUGAAGGUGUGUUGUAAAGCAUGCUGGAGGUAUCAGAAGUGCGAAUGCUGACAUGAGUAACGACAAGGGGGGUGAAAAACCUCCCCGCCGGAAGAYCAAGGGUUCCUGUCCAACGUUAAUCGGGGCAGGGUAAGUCGACCCCUAAGGCGAGGCUGAAAAGCGUAGUCGAUGGGAAACGGGUUAAUAUUCCCGUACUUCUUACAAUUGCGAUGGGGGGACGGAGAAGGCUAGGUGGGCCUGGCGACGGUUGUCCAGGUUCAAGUGCGUAGGCUGAGUGUUUAGGUAAAUCCGGAYACUCUUAAGGCUGAGACACGACGUCGAGCUACUACGGUAGUGAAGUCAUUGAUGCCAUGCUUCCAGGAAAAGCCUCUAAGCUUCAGAUUGUAAGGAAUCGUACCCCAAACCGACACAGGUGGUCGGGUAGAGAAUACCAAGGCGCUUGAGAGAACUCGGGUGAAGGAACUAGGCAAAAUGGUACCGUAACUUCGGGAGAAGGUACGCUCUUGAUGGUGAAGUCCCUUGCGG